GCUGUAUUUUCAGGGGUCACUGUGCAAUUACCCCAAACUGGUGUUUAAACAAUACAGGGUGAGGCUGACACCCCCACUUUGAUGGGAGUUGCCCCGGGACCUCCAGGGCUGCCGGGGGUCAGGGCAUCGCCAGUCACCUUCCCUGCACCUUCCUGCAGCUCUUCCCCACUCCCACGGCCUCUCGUGAUAGAUCGCAUGCUGAAAUGACGCCAGGCUCCGAGAGGCAGCAGUUCUUGUUUGAUAAUCUUAUUUCCCGCUAAGCAGAAGCCAAACGCUAAGAGCAGUUUCCAUAGUAUGCAUGUGCUCCCGUGCAUUUAUUUCCUCGCCCCCCUCACCCUCCAGCCAGCAGACCCGCAGCAGCGCGCAGGGAUGCGGCUGCAAGCAGCCGUGCCCGGCACCGCUCCGCCGUGACUGCUGCUCCCGGAGGGUGAGACAACCGUCCCCUCUCCAGACGCGAGUCCUGGGCUCUGCCGUCGCUGGCACCCCGAGCGGAGGUGGUGGUUGCACCUGAAGGUAACACCACAUUUGGGAAGUGGCAAGUCUAGGGAGCCUGCGAGGGUCAGAGGCUCAAGAAAUUUGGGCUUAGAAAAGGCUAUCUGAAUUGUACAAGCGUGUGCAAGUCCACUGUUCUGUUAAGGGCAAAAAAAGAAAAAAACCAACAACAUAGUUUAUCUGGCUCUUAAAGGGGUGCUUGCUGUUCACUUUGAAGGUGCCUCUUCACCCCUCCUCCUCCACCCAAAUCAUCAGACGUUUGCUAGGAGAGCUAGGAUUCAUGGGCAGGGGUGCCUGGUGUCCCACUGGGAGCUGCGUCUCCAGUGCACCCGGAGUGGGUCGGCUGGACCCGAGAGGGUCUCUUGUACAAAACCAAGCACGUGGCCGGAUUGUAACUGGAGCCUGGCAGUGGUCUCGGUUGGAGCCUGCAGGGCAUGGGACAUGGGAUUUGGGAUACGGGAUACGGGACGUUGCAGCUGCCCCCCAGGAUGCAUGUGCCACCGGUCGCCCUCCUCAGGCACACGGCGGUCUUCAAAGCCUUUGCCAAGCGCCUGAAAAUGGAUGGACUCUGGCCCAGCACCACGUGAACUGCCUGACCCAGACAGCCAGGUCUCGGUGGGACAGCAGGCUCCCAGCCUACACCGCUGUCGGCUGUGCCAGCAAAUGCCGCUCCUCGCCCCCGAAAACUGCACAGCCGCUUCCCACGGCAAACAAUCCCUAGGAAAUUGUAUCUGUCCUCUAUGGAGGAAAAUCACCCAGCAUCCUCCAACCCUGCAAGUUCAGCAAAUGGAGGCAAAUAUUUGCAGGCAAAAAAAGACUCAAGGGGAAGAGCCCAAACUGACCACUGCCGGACAAAGCUGUGGCUCACGCAAAUAUGGGCUGGCUGAGAAAUGGAUGGAAGCAUUUGCGGUUUGGUUGGGUUCCUGUGCUAAUUAAGGGCCACAUCCAGCAUCUUGAAGCUGGUGAAAACCACCCAGCUGAAAGGAGGUUGAUUUCUGCAGGGAAGGGGCAGUGGCACUUCCAAAACGACCCCAGAAUUUUCCCUGCAACAGGUAGACACGGCCCCGGAGGGGAGAAAAAACCUGGGAGUGCAGAGGAGCGGGAAAGGUCCUUCCUAAGUGCUAAGUUCUGUUAUUUUUUUACUUUCUGACUUGGCAUCAAAGGAGAAAACAAAUAUUUUAAAAGGUGCUUGAAAUUCUGAUUUUGGUCUCUUCUGAGUGCUUCAUUGGAAGCACGCUGAAAUAAGAGGAGAGAGACUGAAAUAAAACCGCCGCAGCUAUUAUCCUUAUGGGCCUUGUGACUUAGCCCUAACUCCUCAUUACAACUAUGCUCUGAGCUGCUAACUGCUAUCUAAGCCAAACCAAAGAUGCCAAAUAUAAAGACAAAUUGCUGCAAGCUCUAAUUGCCCCGGCUGGGCGGGCGCAGGUGCUGUGCACGGCCGAGCCCCCGCACGUCCCCCGCUGCUCCCCUUCCACCUCCCUGAGCAUCUUGGCUUGUUCGUGCCAUUUAGCCAAGGGGAAAUGCAGAUAAAGCAGACACAGAGGUAAGAGCUCCCCGUCAGCGCUGUGCCCGAGGACAGGGGUCCUGGGCACCGCAGGGCUUCGGCUCGAGGAGCAGCGGGCAGGAGCCGAGCCAUGCAGCUGACGGGGAAUAAAGUGGAAGGAGCCGUAGCCAGCUGCAUGAUGAGCUGCCUCGGUUGGGAGGAAGAUCAAGGUCUCAGGAGUGGGAGGAAGGCCAAAGUCAUUUGGGGAGCUUGGGAGGGAAAGUCUAUCCCCUGGGCUGGGGUGGAGCUGGGAAGGAAAGUUUAUCCAAAGGACUUGCAAAGCUCUGGGUCUGGCUGGAGACCUCGGUGGACCCGAACUCUCUCCAGCCCUAAUCCAAAGUGCAUGUUCCUGCGCAUCCCGAGUGCUCGGAGCGGCGGCUCCGGCGGCCAGAGGAAGUGGGGCCGAGCCGGUGUUGCGGGGAGAACAAUUGGACAUUGUGCUGCCUUAUCGCCACCGAGCCCAGUCCUGCCCUUAGGAACCGAUUAAACUUUAGACCCCUGUUUGUGCAGAUUCUUCCCGUACAUCUCACGCGCUCUCCAAGGCGAUCGCCGCAGGGGUUGAGAGCUGCCUGGGCUCCCCGUUACCGUUGUUCGCAGCCCAUCUCCCAGCCAGCGCGUCGGGUCCGGCAGCCCAUGGGGACAGGGGUGAUGCUGGGGUGCUCGCACGCAGCUUUCACUGGAGCAGGGAGCAAACCCGGGAGCCGGGGAGUGGCGAGGUGAUGCUCCCCCCGGGACGGCCACGGCAGCCAUCCGGAGGGCUGCUGACGGGGCCGGUGGGGUGCGCUGGGAGGUACUGGUACCUCUGAGCGAUGGGCAGGGUGGGGGGGGCGGCAGCUCACGCACGAGACCCUGAGGCACCUUCGACGUGUCACCCACACGGCAGCAGCACCCUGGGCCACAUGGGUCUCAGCCGGUGCUCGGCCUCCGAAGCCCCCGUGCAAGGCAAGGGGCACGUGCCCAAAGCGGGGGGCUGAGCCGGCUCGGGGUGCGUCUGUGCAAACGGCACGGGCACGGAGCAGGCUGUCGCUGGGUGUCCGGCCAGGAAACCAGGCAAGUCGUACAAAAUUAAUUUAACCCGCUUUGCUUCCAUCUUGUCUUGUUCAACCAUUGCUUUUACUCAUUUUCUUCUUACCUCCCUCACCAGCACUUCCCAGCCUGGAUCCUGACCCCUCCCUGCUGGCUUGCAUGGCCCCGACUGAAAUGACCCAUCCCAAAUACUGCUGGGACCGGGGGACACCAGAACAGCCCGGGGAGCCACGGCUCCAGAGCCGGAGGAGGAGGAGGCGAUGCUCAGCGCUUACCCCUUUGGGCAGGAAAAGGUCUGAGGGAGCAGAGGUUGGCUACGCACAAUUACUUUUAGUAAGAUCUGAACGUACAGAAUCCUAUGCGAGUCAAAAAAUAUUUUUCAGUAGGACUUGGGUGUCUGGCUAGAGUAGGCCCAAGGACUUUUUUUUUUUUUAAGGAAACAUUUUUUUUUUUUUCAUCAGAAACGAACCAUUUUAUAGUGCUGUGUCAUUUCAACAAACUUCCUAUUUGUUUGGGUUUUUUUAAUGGUCCAAAUAUUGCAUUUUGCUAUUUAAAAUGUGGGUUUUUUAUAUUCCGAUUCAAAUUCUGAUCCGGGCUUCUGCCCAAAGCUUUAGGUUAAUUCGCAGUAAUUCCCAGACUGCCCUUUGGAAUAACACUCGUGCUCUUUGCAGCCUUCCUCUCCCCCGGCA